CCCCAACCCCAACACCUUCGUGGGAGAGCUCUGUUCCCACCCCCACCCCCCCACCCCCUUAUCUGCCUCCACCAGCGUCGUCAACAUGUCGAAGAAAACCUGGCCCAAUGCCUCAAUCCAACAUUGAGAAUAAAAGUCCUGGAAUCCACAAUUACACUCUUCAUAAGCCACAAAAAUAUACAAAACAAAGUUUGGAUUGCUGAAUAUCCUGCUGGACUCAUGGGGGCAGGGGAUUCCCGCCAUGGAGAACUAGCAUCAUGUCUUCUUCAUCUCAGUGGGAGAGUAUUCAGUGCUGCCAAACACUGGGAAGAGGCUGCUGUAUAGCGAAAUGCAAAAGUAGGUAGAUUCAUGAAGAAGACAACCAGAAAGAAGGCUUGUGUGGCCAACUUGAGCAGACAAAUCCAACUGACUAUGGAUAGAAUGCCCAGACUUUGGAGAAGAAACGCAUGCUGACCCCCUGGGGGCUAUGUAGGAUCAGCACCAAGGAGAGGAGGCAGCUUAACUAGGGCGUUUUCUGGGGUGAUUGAUUCCUUGAAGAAGACUCCUUAACCAAACUUUGGUCAGGCUCCCUUUAGCUCUCUUUUUAACUAGGCCUCAUGCUUGGGCCCUGUCUUAAGCCUGCCUAGUCUAGUUGCAGCAAGAAUCCUGGACAACCCAUCCCCAUUCCUGUCCUUGUACACAAGGAAGACGUCUCUGGUGAUUUGGAAGAUUCUGAUACAUAGAUCAACAAUAGUUCAUCACAGAGGCCCCACUGAGACCCAGUCUGAGUUGCCUGUUGCUGCAAGACCCCAACCUUCAAGCAAGUGUGGUGCCCACAGAAGCCCCUUGUGCCUUGCUGCUUGCAGCUUGUCGAGUCCCUGAUGCCAUGCCUAAGGCUGCCUUCCUUCAACAUCUUCCUAGAAGCUUCUUCAUGAUCUUCAACUGGAGAUUUUUCUGUGGGAACAGACAUCAGAGCAAAACUGCUCUUACACGUCAUUGGAAUGGGCCCCAAUCAGCAGUCAUGUUGCUGGUCCAUUGCAUUCUAUCUGGAGUCUUAAAUGCAUUUAUGUAAAAUGAUCUCGCAUCAGGUGACUGCUGUGAUGAGAACAAACUGGUCAUGAAGGUCAUCCUCCAAGACAGUUAACUAUGAAGAUGGCUGACAGUGUCCAGCAGCAAAGUAUGGGAUCUCAGGUUUUCUCUGAAUGGGCCAACCUCUCAAAAGUGAGAUCAUAACCAAAAUGGGGGACUGAGAAUGGAAGAUACAAAAGAACAGUGGCCUGGCCAUAUAUAAAAAUAGGACUCUGACAUGAAGUCUGCAGCAACCAGCCCAGGAAAUCAACCCACUUUCUUCAGUUUUGGCAUAUUACCUAGAAGUCAGACGUGUAGGUGUCAGACCGCUCUCUCGAGCAAACAGCCCCGGAAGCUAAAUAAUAACCUCUGUAUUGAAUUGACUGGCCCCAAAUGGCCAAGACUUGAUUUGCCACUGCGAGUAUCCCUGAAUUUUGUCCUCACUUGCAACUUAAGACCAGCAGAUAAAACCACAGAUGCACCCCUAACAAUGAUAUAGGAUGCCCUUCUAGAACACUCACCAUAGCUUCCUUACGCCAAUAGUCUCCUGCAUCACUGAGGCCUUGUAUUAUUCUGUCUCUACAAAGUUUCUCUAACUUCUGUCCAUCUCUGAGUCUGCCCAAAGGCAAGGGAUAGUGGCUGACUCCCUUGCUCUAGCAAAUUUUGACGAAAUCACCUGUACUUAUUAUCAUUUGUUUCGUCUUUAUUUGUAUCCACAGCAACACUGAGUAGUGUCAAAAAACACUGAAUGGUUCAGGUAGGGAGCUGGGCUAAGUCAAGAGUGCUGGGCCCACCCUGCUGGGGACCCACUGAAGUCUGCUUCUAGCUCAAGUACUCCUUACACUGGUAUUUUCCUGAUUUGGGUGGUUCUGGAAAUGCAUAACUUUCCCAUUCCCUUCAACUCCCUAGACUUCUCCAGCAAGCAUCUGGUUCCAGAAGUUCUGUGGUCUUGGUGUUCAGCUUUGGAAACAUUGAGACCAAGUUCUGAAACAACCAUGUGGAACUGCUGAGUAAGAAAGUCGAGAUGGUGUGGGCUAGAGAUUUUAAAAUUGAAUCGAGGCCAUCCUAGGUCAGAAAGAUUGGAAAUUAUCAGUAUAGAUGCUACCUGAAAGAAAAAGAAAGUAGGAAAAUAUGUCUGGUGAUCCUCAAGUAGUGUCCUGGGGAGGGGGUCUCCAAGAUGUGGUUAUGGGGAAGGCACUCCCAGAGGAAAUAAGGCUCUGUCCCCUGCCACAAAAGGGUCUAGACUCAUCAAAAGGAUAAUGAGUCUGUAGAAACUGGAUCUGGGGGAUGAAGGAAGGAGCAGGGAAAGUGGAUACUCAGAGCCAGAACAGCUAGGCUUAGUCCAUGCAGCUUAGACACUUCAAUCAAUAGCCAGUGAGACAUGGAAGGCCACAGGCAAUUUAUGAAGCCACCAAAGCACUAGCCCAGGUGGCCACUCUCCCAAUUACUUCACAAUACCUGCUCAUCCAGAGCUGGUCAGUUGAAGGGAAGCUAAUUCUUAGUAGAGCCAUCAUGUGACCAUUGGUUUGGAAUGUCUUGGCUUCUGAGUCAGCUUGGGAGCCAAACAACCCUGCUCAGUGAAGGUGUUCAACUGGUCACCUGGAAGGCACCAUGUGAGAUGGCUGAUUGUGUGAAGAUGCCGGGGAAGGAUGGCCCACAUUGGGCUUCCCCUCAUCCUUCAGAGGGGCUUCACUUGGGGGCAACUGCAUCGUGUUUUGGGUCCAGGAUUGAAACCUAGAGAUGGGAAACAGAGUUAGGAUCUGGGUUUUUCUCUUGGCUCAGGCACCUCCUCCAAGGCAUCAACUGUCUCCUUCACAGAAAAUGGGGCAGGAGGAUUUGAGGAAGAGACUGAGGGGCCCCUGGUUAGGGGUGCAGGGCAUGAUUUCAGGUGUUCAGUGAUCUCUCUCUCCAGGGAACCAGCUAAAUUUCUGUCUUAAACACCCAACUAAACAGUUUAGUGACUUUUGGUGAGUCACUUUUUCUCUCUAAAUUUGAAUGCCCCCACUGUAAAAUACAGAUGAUAGGCCCUGCUCUGCCGCCUCCCACCUCAACAGGGCUGACACAGAAACCACAGGAGAUCACAGAUAUUCUCUUUGAGCUGUAAGCAUCUCUCCAUAUAAAGGCUAACAGGAAGCUUACAUCCUCCCCUGUUGUGGAGCCAUCCACAACACCUCUCUGGAUUCAACCACUACCAAGUGUCUACCUUAUUUAGUGAUUGAACAUCUAGGGUAGUUAUGAAACACCAGCCACUUAUUUUUCUGAAGACUUUACUUGUGUUUAAUCAUUUUGAGCUCACAACUUAAUACUAAAAAUUAGGCCCUAUUAACAUUUCAAUAUCUCAGAAGAGAGAAACAAGUCACAGAGGGGUCUAUACAACUUUCUCAGGUACAUGGAGCUUCUAAGCAGAGUUUUGACCCAGGCCUUCAGUCAUGGACUAUGUACUUGCUGUGCUUCUAUAAUGCCUCAGGGAAAUAAAACUAUUUGCUCACAAAACCUGUCUGUUGGGUGUUCGAAGUGUACACCCAGUUGCAAGAUCUCUAGAAGUCCAACUUGGCUUCACAAGGCUCUGCUGGUCAGCUGGCGAAUAAUGGAAUCAAAAGAUUGAUUGUGAAUACAUUAUCACUAAUUUCCCUAUGGACUUCUACAGCAAGGUGUCAGCAGUUCUCUCUAUUGCAAUGCAUUUCCCAGGAUCUUGUUUCAAGGAUGAAGAAGAAGAAAUGUUCCCCUGAGGUCAAGAGUAUCAACUGGCACCAGGCAGUGCUUCAGAAAACUCCACAUCUGGCAAACAACAGGGGUACUCUAUAAAUGACCCCAUUGAGGUAUUGUGGAAAUUCACUCAUUAAGUUCAUUCAAGAAGAAGGAUUCUACUUUAGUCAGUGGCCCAUAUUUAAUAGAAAACCAUAAAAAUUUAAACCAUAUUCUUCUGUAUGCAAAGGGGGAUGAUCAAGGCAAUCAGUUGUGCUGUAACUGUAUAGAAGUCAAGAUACAUUUCUAACUCAAGAUUGGGCACACGUUUUACACUAAACAACAUCUCUAGCUGUUGUAUAGACCUUUAGCUGAUUUGUGAACAUUGGCUCUAACAGAUCUCUUCCUAAAACAGUGUUUACAGAUUUUUUAAGAACCUUAAUAGGCAUUAUUUAGAACAGGAGGUUUAGAUGAAUGUAAGAGUUGGACAGAUAAUGUAGAAAGUUCCCAUAUUCUACCCCUCCAGUUUCCCCAACUGAUAACAUCUAACACGAGUGUAGUACCUUUGGUAUAACUAGCAAAAUCAUAAUGGCACAUUUUCAUUAAAUUAAAGUCCGCAGCUUCCAUUGAAAUUCACUCUUUGUGCUUUGACAUUCUAUAAAUUUUCACAAAUGCAUAAUGUCGUGCAUCACCGUGACAAUAUUCUACAGAAAUCUGUACACCAGUGUCCCUAACUGCGCUAUCCAGGGGAGCAGCCACUGAUCAGAUGUGCCUGCUUAUGCUUAAGUUAAUUAAAGUAAAUGAAGUUAAACAUUCAAGCAGUUGAAUAUCCCUGCUGCUUUGGAGACUGAGGAAUGGGGUAUGAAAUCCGAGAGAAGGAGGAAAUAUAUGUGAAGGUUUGUUUUGUUUUGUUUUUCAUGUGUCAGCAUCAUAACAGUAGGAGAUACUA